ensembl:lncRNA
CAGCAACAACAAAACAGGCAGCCGGAUCAGCUGACUGGGCGCAGAGAGCACGGGUUAGUUGUAGGCAGCACGUAUCCUGCGCGGAAAGCAGGGCGAGAGAGAGAGGGAGAGAGAGCAGGGCACGGAGCUGGGAGGUACCCCAUCACCCGCAGGGGCUGCGGCUCAGCCAUGGCUCCCCGGAUAAGAUUGAGUGUUUCAAAGCCUCUCCCAACCAUCUGCGAAACCCACGAGGAAGCAAUGGAAGACCUAACCAGCAACCCAAAGCACACUGCAAACACUUCAACCAACCCAGACUUGUACUCUAGCGAUGACUACAUUCAAUCUAUCUGCCACCUUGCCAGGCCCACCUUCCCAGGCAUUCCGGAAAGCAGCCAUAGGGUUCGGAACAGAAGAAUCCUGCAGACCCUGGAAGCCAUGUCAUGGUCCCCAUCCCAGAAAGAAAUGUCAGCAUGUAAAUUGACCAAUUUCAUCUCAAAUGUGAUGCCACUGGGAAAAGCUACAUCUGCUCCUGAUGAUGCAGAAGCCGACUUCUGGUCCAGAGAGGACCCCCUGGCACAGAUCUACAGGCGCACAGGAAACCUCUGCUCCUCCAAGGGUUUGUGGAGCAAAAACUCCAGCACUGACUCCUCACAGUGCAUCUCCUCCAGCCACCUGGACUCCCUUCAUCCCCCAGCCAUGAAAGAAGAAGCCCCAGGAAAACCACAUUUCCCACGGAUGUUCAGUUUUCCAAGGUUUCCCUCUCCAAGGCCAAUGCAGAAAGAAACGCUCUGCUCAGAGCUGAGGUGUCUCAGAAGGGAUGAGGGAGCGGUUGUAGGGAGCAAUCACAGUCAAAAGGAAGAUGCUCCCAGGUUUAUUAACACUGAAGAGCUAUUGCUGUGCUCAGGCAGAGUUUGUUUGAGGCAGUGGGUGCUGAUGAAAAAGAAGGGAGAGAAACUUCUCACUGUGACAAAAACGCAGUGGGUGAUGUUCCCAGUAAACAGAGAUACUCUGAGUGCUUCCAGGCAGCUAAAAAAGCUGUGAUCCAUAAUUGGAUUUCAGAGCAUAGAUGCAUGUGGAAAGAAGCAAAGAUAAAGGCUUGUUUGCUCCCAGCCAUUGCUGAAGUGUGAAAAAGUAUCUGUUCCAAAUAAUGUUGUUUGCAAGAAAUAAACACCCUGUGCUCUAGAAGCUCUCCCUGGAGUCCUUAUGUGGAAAACAUGGCUUGAAUGUGCAUGCAAGUCAGAAAACCUUUUGUGAUCCAUCUUACCCCUCAUCAGUGGGCAAAUGGACAACUUGGAGUCCAGUCCUCUGAGAAAGCAGCAAUUAAUUCUCAUUUUGGAAAGACAACGGUUCAUAAAGCAUUGCCCCACACCUAUUGCCUUGAACUGCCCUGAGCAUGGAGGAAAUUGAAGAGCCAUCUGUCUUGAAGAAGUAAUCUGAAGGAAAAAGAAACAACAACCCACACACCUACUGCCAUUUCACAGCAGAUGCCAAGCAGCCAGAUGUUUCACACGCUUGGGUACAGUUAUUCUGAAAGGAACAUUCUGAAUGGUGCUUGGACAGUACUAAAUAUGCCCUCACUGACAUAUGCAUUCACUGAGACACACAGCAUAGAUCACUGCAUCAACACCAGAAUACCACUGGGUCAGUCAUCUGGUAGUGCUUUCACGUAAAGGAAUACUUUUAAUAGCUGUAAGAAGCCUGUGAUGAGGAUGUGUUAGAGGACAACAUGAAAAAUACUGAAACUGCUCUGGGUGGGACUUUUCCCCUUCCUUAGCACUGCAAAAGUUUAUGACUUUCAUGUCACAAUCUAACCUUUUUGGGGAUGAGUGCCCUGGGUGAGCAUUGCUAACGCUGGUCUGGUGCUGCAAGAAAUCAGGGUCCCAUCGGUGUCUGCACUGCUGUCUGUGCUGGGUGGGAGCACAGCUGGGAGCUGAGAAAGCUCUGUGCACGUAUGGAUUGUGUCUGUGUUUCCCUUCAUCUGUGUGCUUCUCUAGUUUCCCCCACCUGGCCACGCUAACCACACUGACUUUUCUAUGCCUGGUGCUGUGAGACCGAAACAUGAAGGAAAAAAAAACAUCACAAGAAGUCCCCAGGACAGCCCCUUUGCUGCUCAUGCUGUGUGGGAUGUCUGCAGGAGGAGCAGUGCUGCUGUGGGAUCCAGGUCAUCCCCUAACCGCCUCAUUGAGACAACUUUGUCUCCUGAAGCCUUCACGCACUGUCACAGUCCCACAGCCACAGCGCACAGCACUGCAAGAGGAGCGGGUGAGAGAACUGCUAAGUAAUGCCAGUGCAGUUAUUGCUGCCACUGCCACAAAUCAAUCCUUUGGCACGGAGCAGACACGAGGACUGGGCUGUUUGCUCAACUGCAGCCAGGACGGGAAAUACCACCGCAAAGCUGCCAUUAUAGAAGUGCUCACAGGUGGCUUCUGAAACACCCCUGAGUAGAUUAAAUCAGACUGCAACUUCUGCCCGGUACCAACACAAGUGUAAAUAUACUCAAGGAUCAAAAGGUGAGAGAAUCUGAACUGCUCAUUCUCACAUCUCUUACCUCAAAUAUUUUUAUUCCUGUUGAAACUCAUUAAUGCUCCGGAGCCAAACUGCUUCUCAUCUCCAUUUUCAAACUAACCACACAGCAAGAACAAAGGCGAAGGCGGCUGCAGCUUUUUUAGGGUUUACAGAGAGCCUGAGCUGAACAAGGGCCACACGGGCUCUGCCUCCCCCUCUUCUGCCCUUCCCUCUUGGGUUUGUAUAGGGAUGGAGGACAUGUUUGCCCUCAUUGCUAUGCGGACAUUUCGGUUUCUGUCCAUGUUUAAGACACUAAUGCCUAGCAAGUUUUGUGCCAACUGCAUGUAUCACCGUGUUUGACCAAGAAAGCAAAUAAAACCCUUACACCAAGCAGCAUUCUCUGUUCUUGCAGGCCCAUGAGUGAACCUCCAGGUGCAGGGCAGGCUGUGACCAAUGGCUCAGGGCUCACUACACAAACACCUGCUCGUUGCACAGCAGGCCCCAAGCACAGGAGCAAUGCCUUGUAACGCC